rnacentral:rRNA from 1 species
ACAUCCAUGGACGAAGUCUGAUGGAGCACGCCGCGUGAGUGAAGAAGGUUUUCGGAUCGUAAAACUCUGUUGUAAGGGAAGAACAAGUGCAGUAGUAACUGGCUGCACCUUGACGGUACCUUAUUAGAAAGCCACGGCUAACUACGUGCCAGCAGCCGCGGUAAUACGUAGGUGGCAAGCGUUGUCCGGAUUUAUUGGGCGUAAAGCGCGCGCAGGCGGUUUCUUAAGUCUGAUGUGAAAGCCCCCGGCUUAACCGGGGAGGGUCAUUGGAAACUGGGAGACUUGAGUGCAGAAGAGGAAAGUGGAAUUCCAAGUGUAGCGGUGAAAUGCGUAGAGAUUUGGAGGAACACCAGUGGCGAAGGCGACUUUCUGGUCUGUAACUGACGCUGAGGCGCGAAAGCGUGGGGAGCAAACAGGAUUAGAUACCCUGGUAGUCCACGCCGUAAACGAUGAGUGCUAAGUGUUAGGGGGUUUCCGCCCCUUAGUGCUGCAGCUAACGCAUUAAGCACUCCGCCUGGGGAGUACGGUCGCAAGACUGAAACUCAAAUGAAAUUGACGG